rnacentral:misc_RNA from 1 species
GAUGAAGAACGUAGUGAAAUGCGAUACUUGGUGUGAAUUGCAGAAUCCCGUGAACCAUCGAGUCUUUGAACGCAAGUUGCGCCCGAAGCCAUCAGGUUGAGGGCACGUCUGCCUGGGCGUCACAUAUCGUUGCCCAAUGCCUAUUGCAGUGCAAUAGGAAUUUCUAGGGCGAAUGAUGGCUUCCCGUGAGCGUUGUUGCCUCGCGGUUGGUUGAAAAUUGAGUCCUUGGUAGGGUGUGCCAUGGUAGAUGGUGGUCGAGUUAGAACGAUACCGAUCAUGUGCAUGCUCCCCAAAAUAUGGCCUCUAUGACCCACACGCGUCUUUUGACGCUCAUGACGAGACCUCAGGUCAGGCGGGGCUACCCGCUGAAUUUAAGCAUAUCAAUAAGCGGAGGA